AUUGAACGCUGGCGGCAGGCCUAACACAUGCAAGUCGAGCGGAUGAAGGGAGCUUGCUCCUGGAUUCAGCGGCGGACGGGUGAGUAAUGCCUAGAAAUCUGCCUGGUAGUGGGGGAUAACGUCCGGAAACGGGCGCUAAUACCGCAUACGUCCUGAGGGAGAAAGUGGGGGAUCUUCGGACCUCACGCUAUCAGAUGAGCCUAGGUCGGAUUAGCUAGUUGGUGGGGUAAAGGCCUACCAAGGCGACGAUCCGUAACUGGUCCGAGAGGAUGAUCAGUCACACUGGAACUGAGACACGGUCCAGACUCCUACGGGAGGCAGCAGUGGGGAAUAUUGGACAAUGGGCGAAAGCCUGAUCCAGCCAUGCCGCGUGUGUGAAGAAGGUCUUCGGAUUGUAAAGCACUUUAAGUUGGGAGGAAGGGCAGUAAGUUAAUACCGUGCUGUUUUGACGGUACCAACAGAAUAAGCACCGGCUAACUUCGUG
rnacentral:rRNA from 1 species